AACUUAGGUAUCGUACCGACUAAAGAUUGACGGACACAUUCGAUACAAUAAUAUCCGAUCAACUUGAAAACUAAUCACUAACUUAAUCCGAGAUUAAAUUUUAUUUCCUCUAUUCAAUUUAAAAAUAUAGUAUACUUGCUUAGUCAAUAAAAUAUAUAAAUAUAAACCAAACACAUCAUAUUGAAGAAACAUACUUAUGAAAUGACUACAUAGCAU